AUCACCUAGAAGAGGACACAGAGGUUGCUCGCUGGGGGAUGGCAAUGCCUAACAGUGCUGCUUUUGCAGAAAUCCCAUUUAGAAGGGAAACUCUGUGCGUGGUGUUUGUCUCCAAGUGCGGGGGUGGGGGGUGGCGCGGAGAACAUUCCCCAUCCUAGACGAGAAGUGUGGCCAUUUCAUGAUGUAGGGGUGCAGGGGAGCCCAAGCCCUCCUGAGGUGGCCCUCGCAAAGAGGGAAGGAUGGCUGGGUGCCAGAGGGAGUGGGGAGUGGGCAUCCAUGCUGGGCAGCGAGGACGCAGGUCCCUUUAGGAAGUCUGGUCCUUGCGGGGAGGGAGGUAUGAGAAAAGCAGGGCCACCUGGCUGGGGGAGGGGAGGGGAGAAGGCAGCGGUCCUACUGGACACAGACUGGAAGGGAGAGAAGGACCCAACAUGCACUCAGUCUAACUCGAGUAGCUUAGCCAGCACCCCCCAAGAGGGAACGUGGAAGGUCAAGGUGAACUAAUCUAUUUAAACGUACGCUAUAGUGGAGGAGUGCAUACAGAAAACACUUCUUUUUGGCCACGGGGCACUACUAACGGCCCACCUCCACCAGGCAGCCCACUGGGACUCUCCUAAGAGUUUUCCACGUCCUGUGUGAGGCAGAACAGCCCCCAACUCCUCCCCGAGUGAAGACCCAGCCUAGAAGACCCCUCGGAACCCUCCAGGCCCCAGGACCCCCUACCUUCAGGUUCCUGCGCACUUUGUCAAUGAAGAACUUCCAGCACGCCUCCCGGGUGUCUGUCAGGCCGAGGGACUUCACCUGGGGCCGCAUGGAGGAGAUGAUGUUCUCCACCUCAUCGUCCACGAACAGCCCCGGGAUCUCCCCCGAGGCCAGCAGGUCGUUGAUCAGCACCAGGAACUGCUCCUCGGCCACCUGGGAGUCGGUCAUCAGGAACACCGAGGGAACGUUCUUCACGGCUGACUUGAUGUACUGGGCGCCAAGGUCAAGCUGGACCGGAGGAAGACACCCUCAGAGGUCUCACCAAGAAGAUGCUCAUUCAGAAGCAUCUCGCACCACCACCCAGGGCAGGGGGGCACCCGCAGAUCGGCUCCAUAAGAAACGGCAGGGUCUGUAGAUGGAGACUUAGGGCCUCGAGGGGAGGAAGCCCACUUGUGGAGGCACCACUCGCCACAGUGCCGAACUGGAAGCAUCCCCGGGGUCCCUGGGCUGCUGACACAUGGCUGGCCCCUCACUCGGCUUAAAGCGUUUCUUCAGAGGGUUUGGCCCAGCUCUGGGGGCCAAUACUCUGGCCUCAGGAAGAGGGCUCCUAGAAGUCAAAAGCGUGCCACUGCCUGGCCUGGAGACUGUGUGUAGGGGGCCUGGAGAGCUGACCCAGUGGGUGGGAGCCCGGCUAAGCCCCGACGCCCACAGGUGCAGGCAGAGCGCUGGGCCAUGACGAGGGACUCGCUCUGUCUCUCCCUUCUCAUUGCACCACCCGGUUCCAGCCUUUGUGGGUCACCGGGGCUCCUGCGGCACCCCCUGCCCACCAUCACCCCUGAGCAAUCUCUGUUGUCUUCAAGCCAUCUUCCACUUUGCCCCAGAACACCACCACAUCCUGCCCUUCCUCUGCCCAAAUGUCCUUGAUGGUAUCUUGUUUUCUUGGGACCAUGUCCAGGAUUUUCCAUGAGGCACAUGAUGGCCCUCGGGCUUGGAUUCUGACCCUUCCCCCCGCCCCCAAGUCUCCGGCUUCCGGGGGGGGGAGGUCCAUGGCUGUUGCUAUGACUUUAUAAUAGAAUCGUGAACGUAUCUGUUAUACUAACAACAUAUACCUUGUUAACUUCUUACUGCAACACUACUAUCAGAACAAUAACAAUCCAUCUUCUAACCGUUCAGGAGUCUGCUUCCCCUAAUAGGAUGCAAGGUCCUAUAGGUCUGUUUAUAGCUGUCCGUACUUCCGAAUCUACAGAAGCUACUUAAUAAAUGAUGACAAGGGACGAGUGCAAAGCUGGCUCGUCAGGGGUGCAGGAGCAGUGAAUGGGGACGACACGGAUCACAGAGCUGCUGCAGCUCAUGCCAGGGAAUAAAAUAGCAACAGCCACGGGUGGUCCCAGGGUGAGGUAACGGGAACGAAGCCCUCACGAGGGCAAAGAGUAUGAUGCAAUCAUGAAGAUAAAAGCAAUAUGAUUAAGCUAACAGACUACAAGCUUUAUCAGUGGAGAAAACUCACUACCGCUACACGGCUCCGGGUGCAAGGAUUCUCUCCACUCUGAGAGCACUUGUGGGGUCAGUGAGGACCCGCUCGGCUCAGCUGACAAUCCACACACUCUGAUUCAAUCCAGGAGGCAGGACCUACAUUACUAAGACCUCAUCCUUAAGGCUUGGGUUUAAAAAUUAGAGCUGGCUAGUGUUUGAUAGAAAGAGUAGGCACUGGGGACUCUGACAGGCCGGACGCUCACCUGGAGGCUGCAGUCCCUGGCACAGCCUGAGAGCAGGGCCGAGAGCCAGCUGACCAUCCCUGUUAUCCUUCCUGGGGCCCCAGCCCUGCAGAUCACCCCGCCCUCUUGCUGAGAUCCCAGGGCGCCAGGCUCUGGUGGGGGUCCAGACCAUCCCCCCCUGCCCAAGGCCACCUGGGCAGUGACUGCCUUGCAGCCUUGAGUGGAGGGGCGGGUCCCCUGGGCCAGCCUCGUCCUGGCCCACAGAAGCACCAAAGCAAAGAGAGAGACACCAUGGGACACGGUCAAAUCAAUUUCAGCUCUAAUCUGAGCGGCGGCCAUGAUAAGCUCUAGACUAAUCAUGUUUGACUAGCUCACAGUUCCCCGAGAGAGCAAAUUUUCCGGAAAAAUAAAUCAAUAAAAAGCCUCGGCAGCACGUCCUGGGGAUGGGAGACCUGUUCGAGCUAAUGUUUAUUCAAUUAAUUCAGAGAGUGGCCCUCUCAGAACCCCAAGCAGGCGGUGAGACUGCUGGUUAGUACCGGUUCUGAAUGAUUGAAUCUGGAAAACCGGGAAAGACAAGGCAGCAGGCUGCGAUGACCAGAGGCCCCUGUCCUGAGUUCUGGGAGUGCAGCGAUGACGGGACAGACUCUGCCUUCAUGGAGCUCCCCUUGUAGCGGGGAGACAGAACCAGACAAAGUCACAAGAUCUCUGGCCUCCAGAAGCAGAAGAGGAUAACCCUCCAUUGUGUAAAGCUGCCUGGUUUGUGGUCCUUGGUCAUGGCGGCCACAGGACGCCAGCAAAGAGGGCGGACAGGUGAUGCUGAAGAAGACGGCACAGUGGUGCCAGGUCUCGGCGGCCCCCGGGCCCCUGUGAGUCAGGCCAGCUCCAGUCCCACCCCUGCCAGGCCACGGCGCUUGAGCACCCCUCCAGCCCCGGCCUUGCUGUGUGGGGAGCUGGGCUCACUUCCCACCACAGAGGCACACAGAGCACCAACUCUCCGCCUCCCCGGCUCCCCCUAACUCGCCUGCACCUGGAAACCCUCCCACCUCUGCUCCGCAGCGCUCAUCUUUCCCAGCUGCUUCAAGACUCAUUUCCAGAAAGACCCUCCUUUCGAGGGCCUCCUCCCAGUUCCUGCUCCUCGAAUUGUCACCUGGCUUCUGGCUCUGUCAUGCCAGGAAUCUGUUCUGCCUGAGUUAGCGGUCAGCUCCCAGCUGCCAAAAUCCAGCGGCAACUUUCUGUCCUUGGCUCCCUGAUGCUCCGGACGCGACCCUCUCAACCCUGCCUCCCCUCCUGAGGCUUCUUCCUCCCUGGGUGUGCGGGAGGCCACCUUCCGGUUUCCUUGCUGCCUGUUCUUUCUGGAAGCGCUUCCUCCCCACAUGUCUUAUCACGCUCCACGUGUCUCCUGGAGACCCAGUUUCCCCCGCACGGAGCAGCCUAGGGUCAGACACGCGGCAGGCACACAGGAAGCACUGGUUGAAGGUGUGGAUGGACGGAUGGUUGAACAAGAGCAGCCACGGUGUUUCUCGCGAGCCCGUCAGUCCUGGAACGCUGCACCGGGGUUUCUACGUAAGACCGUGCAGGACGUCCUGGUGUGUAAACGGCUAGCCAUGGGUCCAAGUGUGAAAAUGUACCUCCAAGUUCAAUGCCAAGCCUUCCUUUUCUUACGAUUUCAAACGUUUCUCACAUCCACCCCUCCUCCCCAUCCCCAGUGGCCACCUGUCGUCUGCUGGCAUGAACUCUUCCCUCCACAUCAGAGAAGGCCCCUGUGCCCGCCCCUAGGCUGGUCCAGGGCUGGUCCCUUCCUGCCAAGAGCAUCUUGAUGCCUCACGGUCCAUCCGCCAACACCAGACUGCUGCCUGUCCCUGGGAACCUCACACUCUCGCUCUGAUGUGCCUUAAAUGUUGGUUCUCACCUGAAACUCUUUCCACUCGGAAAGCUCCUUCUCCUCUGCAGGGGGGCGGGGGGUCAGCCCAAACUCCAGCUCCCCUAGGAAGACUUUCUGUCUCCACGACAGGCCCAGCCCCUCCCUUUCCACUUGCUUCAUCAGCCGCCAUGAUGCAGUCUCUGGGCAUGUCAUCACUUAUUCACACAUCUCUCCUGCGUCCUUGCAUUGCAGUGACCAUGCUGCCCGGGGAGGGCCUGGCACACAGCGCUUACCGUAUGAAUGAAUAAGCGAGUGGAUGAAUGCGUGCCCAGGCAACACUGAAAUACCACCACCCUUCCCUUUUUCUCUGCAUAGUUUGAAGGAGAACAA